rnacentral:rRNA from 1 species
UCUUUCUUUGCUGGCGACCGGCGCACGGGUGAGUAACACGUAUCCAACCUGCCUUUACUCGGGGAUAGCCUUUCGAAAGAAAGAUUAAUACCCGAUAGCAUAAUGAUUCCGCAUGGUUUCAUUAUUAAAGGAUUCCGGUAAAGAUGGGGAUGCGUUCCAUUAGGUUGUUGGUGAGGUAACGGCCCACCAAGCCUUCGAUGGAUAGGGGUUCUGAGAGGAAGGUCCCCCACAUUGGGACUGAGACACGGUCCAA